rnacentral:rRNA from 1 species
ACGGAAGGCAGCAGUGGGGAAUAUUGGGCAAUGGGCGAGAGCCUGAACUAGCCAAGUCGCGUGAAGGAAGACGGCCCUAUGGGUUGUAAACUUCUUUUGUACGGGAAUAAAGUCAGAUACGCGUAUCUGUUUGCAUGUACCGUAUGAAUAAGGAUCGGCUAACUCCGUGCCAGCAGCCGCGGUAAUACGGAGGAUCCGAGUGUUAUCCGGAUUUAUUGGGUUUAAAGGGUGCGUAGGCGGGGGAUCAAGUCAGUGGUGAAAUGGUGCGGCUCAACCGUAGCAUUGCCGUUGAAACUGGUUCUCUUGAGUGCGAAUGAGGCAGGCGGGAUGUGUUGUGUAGCGGUGAAAUGCUUAGAUAUGACACAGAACACCGAUUGCGAAGGCAGCUCACUGGGACGCAACUGACGCUGAGGCACGAAAGUGCGGGGAUCGAACAGGAUUAGAUACCCUGGUA